AGCAAAAGAAACCAACAGGGAUUGCCCUAGUAACGGCGAGUGAAGCGGCAAUAGCUCAAAUUUGAAAUCUGGCCCUCGCGGUCCGAGUUGUAAUUUGUAGAGGAUGCUUUUGGUGCGGUGCCUUCCGAGUUCCCUGGAACGGGACGCCGGAGAGGGUGAGAGCCCCGUACGGUUGGACGCCUAACCUAUAUAUAGCUCCUUCGACGAGUCGAGUAGUUUGGGAAUGCUGCUCUAAAUGGGAGGUAAAUUUCUUCUAAAGCUAAAUACCGGCCAGAGACCGAUAGCGCACAAGUAGAGUGAUCGAAAGAUGAAAAGCACUUUGAAAAGAGGGUUAAAUAGCACGUGAAAUUGUUGAAAGGGAAGCGUUUGCGACCAGACCUUUUCCAGGGGGAUCAGCCGGUGUUCUCACCGGUGCACUUCCCCUGGUUUAGGCCAGCAUCGGUUCUCCUAGGGGGAUAAAGGCGGGGGGAACGUAGCUCUUUCGGGAGUGUUAUAGCCCCCCGCGUAAUACCCCUCGGGGGACCGAGGACCGCGCUCUGCAAGGAUGCUGGCGUAAUGGUCGUCAACGAC
rnacentral:rRNA from 1 species